rnacentral:tRNA from 1 species
GGGCCGGUAGCUCAGCUGGCAGAGCAGGGGACUUUUAAUCCCAAGGUCGAAGGUUCGAAUCCUUCCCGGCCCA